ACUAACCACCGUACACACAUGUUCAAGUCAUACCACCUGCCAGUCUCGCUUCUAUAUUUUCCAAAAGCAAGAUCAAAAGUCAAUUUCGAAAGCUUUAUAACAAUUUAGGUAACUAACGUUAGAUUUAUCUAACAUAGCGUCUACCAGUCGGCUGGUUUGCUAACUAACGACUGACUGAAAGCCAGUUAGGCGACAGAAGAAUAUGUUAUCACGCUGUGGCCUGCCUGGCAGACAUCGUUAGGUAACGUUAGCUAUCUAAUCUACCUAGCUAGCGCACUACUAGCAACACAUACUGAUAUUAUUAGUAACCUUAACAGUCGACGUUAGUCAAUUAGCUAACUACUGUAGCUAAAUUAAACACAACUCCAAUGGUCAACCAUUGCAUGAAAUGAAAUUAUAGAUCACACUAACACCGUACCCGUCGCACAAGAUAAAACCAGAUGUGACCAGUUUAGCCUGCUAACGUUCAUUGUAAACAUCCGCAAAUGUCGCUGCGGUACGCAAUAGGAGAGAGACAUAUGAUAUCUCCUUUCAUCUUUAAUAUCAACCAUAAAGGAAAAGGGCAAAGUACGAGAGUCAUGUUAUUAUGGUAUGGAUCAAGGACGGGAAAGGAGUUCUAACAGAGGUGCUUGAAGGAAGGCGUACAGAAAACAUACAACAACAAAAUGAUCGAGUGAACAACACAUUAGAAACAGAGGAUGUCAUGAAAAUGGCAAAUAAAGAUGACAAUGGAAAAGGAAAUUUUGAUGAUGACCAGAAAUUCAGUCAACACCAACUAGAUCACUACUUCAGAGACAGAGGGACAGAAAACAAUCGAAUGGUACGUUCAAGCAACCACAAAAAGCUGCGGUCAUGGGACAAAGAUUUACAUCUUAAAUCAUUACUCAGCCCAAGUCAUUCUAAAUGGAAAAAGAAGUUCAGUGCGCAAGCAAAGUCUGCCCAAGGUGAACUUCAGUAACUACAAUGCUGUCAUGAGUUUCUUAAAUGUGAACCAGAACCACUUAUCUGCAUGAACCAUCAGGCCAAGUGUUUUUGGUUGACCCUGCUGGACAGAAAGAGAAGGAGGAAUCGGAACACGCUGCAUUCAAAUUCAGGUCUUAGUUAUUCCAUUGUACUGGAUCUAAUACAUAUUAGCAUUUUACAUACAUUCAUAAGUGUAAUAGUUUUUUAUGACAUACUGUGAAAAACUCUUGGCUGCUGGCUCUGGCAGAGCAGACUGAAAGGGGAAGGGGAGCUCUUGACUUGAACCACGGGUUCUCUGUAAAGAGAGAGUAAUCCAAAAGGCACAGACACCCCCCUUAACUUUCAAUUGGCACCCUUGACCUGUAUGUAUUCACUCCUGAUUGGCUCUGUGGUGCUUAGUCAAUGGGAACGCCAUUGCCGGCCCCAUCAUAAUGUCACGAAUCCCGCCGAAGAUGGUGCCUCUUCCUGUUCGGGCGGUCGUCGUUGCCGGCCUACUCGCUGCCACUGAUCCCCUUUUCUGCUUCAGUUAGUUUUGUCUGAUUAGUUUCAUCUGUUUCUUGUUUGGGUUUUGUUUUGGGCUAUUUAAACCCGGUAGGCCCGCCGGCUUUUGUGCGGGCUUGUUUUUCUGUUCAUAGUGUGUGGAUUAUUGUGGAUUCCGUUUUCCUGGACAGUUUCGUCCUAUUUGUUGGACUGGGUAUUUUAUGCACCCUUGUGUUUGGCGGGACCGUUACUCUGUUCUUGGAAUAAAGAUCCACGUUUUGAACUACCCUGCUCUCUGCGCCUGACUCCUCUACCCACUACUCCUAGAAGCCAUUACACAUAAAGUUUUUACACAGUCUGGCAGUGUGACUAAAGUGCCAGAGGUAUGAAGAGACAUCCUCCUUUGUAUUUAUGGGAACAAAUAUUUCCAAACACUUUGGAUCCUAUUCUUGGACAGUUAGAAGACACAAUGCGUAAAUGCAAAAAUAAAUAAAAAAUACUAAUUACUGUCCAUAAGUAACCUCAACCUUGUGGGUCUGUGGGUGUUUGGGCCAAUAAAGUGCCAACUCAAUUCUACCACUGACUAGUCUCUCAUGCCCCUAUGAACGGGGACACAGGGCAAUAGUUUUUCAUCUAAACCAGAUCUUUUUUUUACUGGAGUACACUAACCCCUAAUCGGGGCUCUUUUCUUGACACACAGUAGCAGUUUACCAGAUAAGAAGUCAAGAAGAUCAAAAAGUAGAUUGUUGUAAGACUGUAUUACAUCCUGUGCUGGCCCCAUUGUCAUAUCCAUUAUGGAUUCUGAGUGGUAAAAUCAUAGCUGAAAAAUUACUCUAACACACAAAGUGUGUUUGUCAAAAUAAUAUCUGAAAAUGUCAGUUGUUGAACAUAAUACUUCUACUUGCAAUAGCAAUUUAUGAGGAAUAUUCCAUGUAUCAACACUACAUGUAGGACAGACAUAAGACAUUCCCACAUAGAGUAUGUAUGAUACAUGACUAGAGGUUAUGCAAUAGGGCUGUAUAUCAACUGCACGCUUCUUAGGUGUGUAAUUGACAUGACCAAGGAGCUAUUGAAAUGUAAAACUAUGAAAAAUGUAUGUUACACCGCGUGAUUUUACAGUACACAAACAAGAGUGUGCAAUAUA